GUCCAAUCAGGGGCCCUGGUGAGGGUGGCGGACCACUUCCUCAUCUCAGGAGAUCCCUGUGUCCUAGUGGCCUCCAGCCUACAGUGGGCAGAGCGUCCCAGCGGUGGCUGGGCCUUCUCCACUCUGAGAAAGGGAAGCCGGAGACCUCGUGAGCGGGAAGUGGUGAUUGUGUGGGGUUAGGUUUCCCAGAAGGUGGCCGUGGGCGGAUGGAUACUGCCAGAACCAGCUACAGAGGGACCUGGACUUCCCCCGCGGUGAGCUCUUCCAUCCGCAGACCCCACCGCUGAGGGCUGGGCCAGCUCCGGACAUGGGCGACAGGCCCCGUGCCUGCACCAGCGACCUCGGCUCGCUCCAGAGCCUCCUCUCCGUCUCCAUGCGCGAGGUCCAGAAACUGCUCAGGUGUGGGUGUAGGUGGUUGAGCAACAGGCAGUCCUGCCUUCUUGAUUCCCCAUAAAGAUACAGCUCUCCACAGAGAGACAGGAUGGGACACUUCAUAGAACUCUGAGAUCCGAGACAAGCUCCUGUGCUCCCCGUAUUCAUGGGUGGAUAGAAGCUCCGGCUUCUUAAAUUGUGCUUCAACUUUGCGUUACUUUUAUUUUUCCUUUAUUAAAAAUCCUACUUUGAUGAAAGUGCUUUUGGAGCCAAUGACUCUUCACAGCCCCUAGAUGAGAGCUGGCCGAGGCAGCCUCCUUGGAAAGAAGAAAAGCAUCCAGGCUUCAGGCUGACAGCUGCACUUAACAGGUCCAAUUCUGACUCUGCUCCUCACAGGAGUGUUCUGAGCACCAAGCCCCGGGACCCCUACGGAAGAGGGGCCCAGUCGGCCUGCCCUGGCCCCGUGCGUGGGACCUGAACACACUGAGGAGUAAGGACUGAGGGAGCUAUUGAGCAGCUUUGUUUCCAGAGAGGAGGAAGUGUCUUCUCUCUGUGGGUCCUGAGGCCUGACAGAACUCUCCCAGGGGCCAGCAGUCCUGGCACCAGUGUCCCCUGGUCCCUGGGAGGGGCUCUCAGCCAAGCAUAGGGAGCAGGGAGGAGCCGGGUCAGAGCCAGCAGCACCUGCCCAGCUUGGUCUCAUGCUGCCAGUCAGAUCACCAGUAACAGGGUGGAGAGGCUUCCAGUGGGCCCACAUCUGGUCACCUUAUGCCCCUGCUUAAAGCCCUCAGUGCUACCGCCUCACCUUAAGGAGAAGGGCCCAGGAUGCGCCCGAGCUGACGGUCAAGACCAAGGACGGCGUGGUGGAGAUCACGGGCAAACACGAAGAGCGACAGGAUGAGCACGACUACCUCGCCCGCUGUUUCACCCGGAAGUACACGCUGCCCCCUGGCGUGGACCCCACGCUGGUCUCCUCCUCCCUGUCCCCUGAGGGUACGCUCACCGUGGAAGCGUCGCUGCCCAAGCCGGCCACGCAGUCGGUGGAGAUCACCAUCCCAGUCACCCAGAUCGGCGGCCCGGAAGCAGGAAAGUCUGAGCAGCCUGCGGCCAAGUAGAGCAGCCUCGUGCACCGCCCAGCCCCCAGCUCCCACCUGCGUGUCCUUUUGAUACCCCGAGAGACAGGGCAGCCUGUGGUCCCUGGGCGCACGUGCUCUGCUGCACUUCCGGCUACAACUGUGGGUCCUGCUGCUGCUGGGCCUCCUGCAAGCCGACUUCAACCUCAGGAAGGAGCUGCUCCUCUACCGCACCCACGUGACCCUGCCACUAGUCAGGGUGCUGGGCUGGCGCUUCACGGUCUUUGCGGGUGCUUCGCUGACAGGACCCAUCUUCUCCGGAUGGGGCGGGGCAGCCCAAGGCCGUCUCCUUUCCCCUCCCUUCCACUGGCCAGGGCCGAAGCCCACAGCAGCAGUGCUGCCCAGGUCCUGCACGGGAGAGAAAGGCCUGAGAUUCUCCUGGAACAGAGACACUGUCCCCUGCUGGCUGUCUGCCGUCACCCUGCCUGUGUGCCUGUUCUGGUGCAGUGACCCCUGCCUGUGGUUGCUACUCACCCUGUUUCAGGCGCCCUGUGCUGUGCAUGCCUUGGUCCAGUCAGAACUUCCAGAACCUCUGUGAGACCUCCCCCUCCACAGUCCACACCUGGAGACUUGGCGGUGGAGGCGGGUGUGGCCCAGGAGCCUCAGGGACACACCACACUGCCACACAGUUCACCCCACCCUGUCUGCCUGAGCCUUCCUUUAGCUUCCAGACCUCCUCUGUCAACUUGAGACCCACUUGGGUCCCAAGUCCCAGCCAGGCUCCAGGGUCACCUCGGUUUGCUUAGAUAUGGUCCAGCUUGCAGCCACAGAUGCCUGCAGCAGAGGCCAGCCUGCUGGAGCAUGGAAGCCCAGCGCACCUGCUGCAGGGCAGUCUGGGAGGACUGAAUAGGUGCUCAAAGUCCUCCGUGCGGGUUUUGGGGAGGCAACUCGAUUCCUCUGUGGCUUGGUGGGGGUGUGAGUGGCUUUAGUCUUUGGUGUACACCCAGAGUUGACUCUUUCAUGUAUUGCACAUUUUAAACAGCAAAAAUCCCAGAAGUGCCCCCUGGAGGACAUGAACAGACCAUUUAGAACAUCAGUGCAUGCCAAGGUUGGGUCUCUGCAAGCCACAGGCUCCCUGCUCCUCUGUCCUGCCCCAGUCACUAUUAAACCAUUUAGGGAGUAAGAAGCAAAAUUACAGGGCAGAGACAUGGGCACGGAGGAUACUCACAGGGAAGGGAAUCCCAGACUCUUAGCUCCUGCCUCUCUGCCAUGCAGAUAUGGUGGUCACUGUGGUGCUGUGACAGCUGGUUAGAGACAGGGUGGCCAUGUGGGCCUUGGUGGGAAGUGAGACGACCACUAUGCCCAGGCAUCCUGCAGAGAUACAGGGCCUGAUUUUGAGGGUGGCAAGUAGGUCAACACUGCUUCACCUCACAUUGUCAUCCCCACCCAAGGGCAGGGAAGAGCACUUGGCCCCUGUGAAACUGCCCUGCCAGGUAGAUCAGAGGCCUGUGGAGCUGCGAGCAUGCCACAAGGAGACACAACAGAGACAAACUGGACAGAGAAAGUAGCACCUGCCAUGCUGUGUGCUGAGCUCUUUGAUUCAUUGGUGGCUUCCGUGCCUUAACUCCCCAUGGGACUGGCUGCCAGGCUUGGUAGAGGAAGUCUGUCUGAGAACCCCGUGGCCAGGCAAGGGCUUCCUUGACUGACCCUACUUGCUGCACAGAAUUUUUGCACUAAAUUACACUGUUUCCUUAAAGCUUUAGUUUACAUUAAUUGCUUUACUGUACUCAGAACCACCAGAACCUCCUUGCUGGGGUGAAGGUGGAGAAGCAGGGUGGCGGGAAGGGUCUGGCUGUGCAGCCUGGAAUGUGACCAUGGAAUUGUGAGUGACUGUAACUGGUGGUUCCUUGUUACACGGCAACACAGCUGCUCAGUCUCAAGUGCCUGUUAAAUUGUGAGGUGUCACAGAGUCAAAAGCAUUAUGGAAGAACAAAGUAUGUAUCUGUCUAGAGUUGAUACUGGUAUAGUAUAUUUUCAUUUUUUGAUGUAGUCUAAUUUAUAUUUUUAUUUAUUACUUUUUAAAGAUUUAUUUAUUUGAAAGUCAGAGUUACACAGAGGGAGAAGGAGAGGCAGAGAGAGAGAGAGAGAGAGAGAGAGAGAGAGGUCUUCUAUCCGCUGGUUCACUCCCCAACUGGCCACAACAGCCAGAGCUGCUUCCUCCAGGUCUUCCCACAUGGGUGCAGAGACUCAAACUCUCGGGCCAUCUUCUCCUGUUUUCCCAGGCCAUAGCAGAGAGAGCUGGAUCCAGAGAGCUGGAUCAGAAGUGGAGUAGUCCGGACUAGAACCGGUGCCCAUAUGGGAUGCUGGCACCUAAGGUGGCAGCUUUACCAGCUAUGCCACAGGGCCAGCUCCUAGUCAAAUUUAUAUUAAUCUUUCCUUGAGUCCAGUACAUCCAUAUAGCUUCACCUAAUUUUGUCUUAUUUUAAAUAGCUAAACAUGAUUUUUAUCUUUUUCUUUGAGGCAGCCUUUGGAAAGACAUCCAUAUUAAUCUAAACAGGACUCUAGUUUUAGUGAUUUUGAUAUUUUGAUACUCCUGGAUUCCACAUUGCUUCUCUCUCCUACUGAAUCUUCAUCAAGAAAGACCCAGCAGGUCCCGGUACUGUGGAUCAGUGGGUUAGGCUGUGGCCUGAGGUGCUGGCAUCUCUUAUGGGUGCUGGUUCAUGUCCCAGCUGCUCCAUUUCUGAUCCUGCUCCCUGCCAAUGCAUCUGUGAAAGGUGCUGAGGAUGGCCCAAGUGCUUGGAUCCCUGCACCCACGUGCAAGACUGGAAAGAAACUCCCAGCUUCUGGCUUUGGCCAGUCUGGGCCUCAGGCAUUGCGGCAGUUCAGGGAGUGAACUAGCAGAUGGAAGACAUCUCUCUCUCUCUCUCUCUCUCUCCCUCUCUAACUCUGUCUUUCAAAUAAAUCUUUAAAAAUAUAAAUAAAGUCCCAGCAUUUGCUGAGUUCUGAAUUUCUAGUCACUUCUUUAUGCUCCCCAUUCCCCUAUUUUUGAAAUAGAAUUUCUUUUUUUUUUCUUUUUGACAGGCAGAGUGGACAGUGAGAGAUAGAGACAGAGAGAAAGGUCUUCUUUUGCUGUUGGUUUACCCUCCAAUGGCCGCUGCGGCCGGCGCGCUGAGGCCGGCACACCGCGCUGAUCUGAUGGCAGGAGCCAGGUGCUUCUCCUGGUCUCCCAUGGGGUGCAGGGCCCAAGCACUUGGACCAUCCUCCACUGCACUCCUGGGCCACAGCAGAGAGCUGGCCUGGAAGAGGGGCAACCGGGACAGAAUCCGGCGCCCCAACCGGGACUAGAACCCUGUGUGCCAGCGCUGCAAGGCAGAGGAUUAGCCUAGUGAGCCGCGGCGCUGGCCUGAAAUAGAAUUUCUUUAAGAGUUUGCCAAGCAUUUGCUGCCACUUGCUGCCAGUUUAUGUGGGUGUGGUGGGAGCAGUAAAUUUGAUGUUGGUUUCACAGAUAUAAAGAUGGAGAGGGAUGAAGACAAGGAACUAUACCCCUAUCAGUUCAUCAGAGAAACCUCAUUCAACCUAUACCCCCACCCCACCCCAGGGGCUCAUGUCUCUGCCAUUUUCAGAAUUAACUGCGUCUCUCAAAAUGUCCCCAUGCAAUUAUAGCAUCCACCCAAGGGCUCAGUCCUUUCAGUCCCUGUGGAUACUAUCAAAGGAAUUAGAUUGUAAAAUUAAAUGUUAAUUCCUCAUAACGUUUUUAAAAAUCUGUAAGUCUUCAGAGAGGCAUAUGUUUUACGAUGAAUAGAAGGGUUUGGUUUACUAUUAUUUACCCCAACCUGUCUAGAUUAGAGGAUAAAGUUAUUCUUUGCCUCUUAAUUUGAAAGAUGUAUAUUGAAAUGACUUGUUCUUUGUAUUAGUGUCUUAAUAUACAUGUUAUAUAUAUAUAUAUAUGCUUUUGCUGUCACAUGUAUACAUACAUUACACACACAUAUAUCUGGAGAUACUUCAAAAAAAUUAUGAGAAAAUAGAAUUAAAAGAAUUCUGGCACAGGCCUUGUGGCACAGCAAGCUGGACACUACUAGAGACACCUGUAUCCAAUACUGGAUUGCUGGCUGAAGUCCUGGCUACUCUUUCUUUCUUUUUUUAAAGAUUUAUUUAUUAUUUGAAAGGCAGAGCUAGAGAGAGGCAGAGGCAGAGAGAGAGAGAGAGGUCUUCCAUCUGUGGGGAGCAACUCGGACUAGACUAAGUUACUGGAAUUAAGACUUAUUCUAUGCAUCUGCUCUCCCACAAUAUGGCGCUGAGAAGGGAGAAACAGCUUCUGCUCAGCUGCCUCCAGUUCAAACAAUAAACUGUAGGACCUGCUCCUGAUUGGAGGAGAGCAGCGUACUCGGCGUGUGGGUAGCAGAGUUGGGAUUGGUGGAAGAGGACUAUAAAGGAGGAGAUAGACAACAUGCACGAGGAACAUCUAAAGGGAACAUCUAUCUGAAGGAACACCUGUGCAGCCCCCGAGAGAGCCGGCCGGCGGUGUGCCGCUCCCCUGUGGAAGUGGGGAAAGUGGCCAGGGGGAACCGCCCUUCCACAGAGGUGGAAGGGACAGUAGCCAACCCAGGAAGAACCAGCAGCAAACCCGGGAAGGGCCGAGCGGACAAAAGAACAGCGCAGGGUCCUGUGUCGUUCCUCCACGAAGAUGGGGAGCGACACCAUCCAAUGGUUCACUCCCCAGAUGGGCACAAUGGAUGGAGCUGCACCAAUCUGAAGCCAGGAGCCAGCAGCUUCCUCCAGGUCUUCUCACACCGGUGCAGGAGCCAAGGAAUUGGGCCAUCUUCCACUGCUUUCCCAGGCUACAGCAGAGAACUGGAUCAGAAAUAGAGCAGCCAGAUCUUGAACUGGUGCCCAUUUGGGAUGUCAGCAGUGCAGGCAGUGGCUUUACCUGCUAUGCCACAGCACUGGCCCCCUGGCUACUCUAUUUCUGAUCCAGCUCCUUGCUAAUGAAUCCUGGGAGACAGCAGAUGAUGCCAAAUACUUGUGCAUCUUUCACCCAUAUGGGAGACCAAGAUCAUCUUCCUGGCUCCUAGCCUUGGCUAGGACCAGCCCUGGCUGUAGCAGACAUUUAGGAAGUGAACCAGAGAAUAGAAGAUCUGGUUCCCCCUGUCUCUUCUCUUUCUCUCUCUCCUUUUCAAGUAGGUGAAAAUAAACACAACUUUUUAAAAAGAUAAGUUUAUGCAAAAUAAAGUUGAAAUUCAUUCAUAGUUUGUUCAUUAUAUGCAUUUCCAUUAACUUUGAAGUUGACUAUAGAUAUAGAUAUAGAAAAAUAUAGAUAUAGAUGAUAUAGAUUGUCACAUCUUUGGCAGGAGUGAUAGGUCCAAACAAGGCCAACCAAAAUCUUUCCCUAGAAGAAUGACACAGAAGCUGAGAAAUUAAGACUCCUUUCCACACUGUCUGCUGUGUGGGAAAGGCUUUCCACAGCAAGAGAGGCCAUUAAAGUUGUUGCUCUUAAAAAUACAAAUUAUAACAGAAUUGUGUGGGGCCAGCGCUGUGGCUUAGUAGGCUAAGCCUCUGCCUGUGGUGCCAACAUCCAAUAUGGGUGCCAGUUCUUGCCCUGCUGCUCCAUUUCUGAUCCAGCUCCUUGCUAAUGUAUUUGGGAAAGCAGCAGAGGAUGGCCCAAGUGCUUCAGCCCCUGCAUCUACAAAGAAGACCUGAAAGAAGCUCCUG